CAACCUGGUGUGGCGCGGCGAGGCGGGCGCGGCGGCGCGGCAGGCGCGGCUCGCCUCGCUCGGCGUGCUGCGCGCGCUGCAGCUGCUGCGCCAGCGCCGCGACCACCAGCUGCACGACAAAGUGAAGACGGCCCUGGCUCAGUUCAGCGAUUUCACAUAAUACCGCCGCAGCCCGAGGCGCAAGCGACCGCGUCGCGAAUAACUCGAGUCUCUCGAGUCCCAAGCUCGAGUCUCGAGUCUCAAGCCGCGAGUCCCGCGCCGGAGGUCAACAUGUGAUAGUCCACGGACAGUGAGUUUUCCAGUCAUACAGUAAUUUAGUUCUCAACGUUAACGUAAGCCAAAGUAACGACACUAAACAAGUAGAAUUUCGUAUACUGACCCGCCUUUUCCUAUCUCUAUCGCACGCGUAUACUAAUUAUAUUACUGUCCCGGUCGCACAGUGGAUUUAAUAUGGGCAGGACAGCCCAUAAUAAAUCCACAUAAUAAUCCACAUAAUGUCGCGCGUGCGACAGAGAUAGGGUCAGGCGGGUAAAUGUACGAAAUCCUUCGUGCUUCGCGUCCUUACAUUAACUAGGACUUUAAGGUUUAUUGUACAUAGCUAAGUUCGCUUAAUUGUUAUCUCGUCUUAUGAAACGUUAUUGACUAUUUAUUUUUAAUAUAAAGUUGACAUUGAAUGUCUACUCGAACCCGAUUCGAUAGGACCAUUGCCAUGGUGUUGAAAAUUAAAUUAAAUUUAUUGGCUUCAAAACUAAUUGGUACAUAUUAUUUUUUAACUAGCAGAAAUGUUUGCGAACGAUGCUAAUAAGGUUAGAAUAAAUUUAUAAGUGGAAAAAAUACUGUCUUGGGUGAGACUUGAACUCACGGCCUCUGGAUCGACACUCCAGCCCCGCAGAGCGAGCACAGAUACCGGCGCACCAGAGACGCGUGAGUUCAUGUCUAACCCAAGACAGUAAUUUUUCCACUUUUAAAUUAAUUGGUAAAUAUCAGAUAUUUCACUGGUUUUUUUAAACUUUGUGAUAUAUUGAAUACUUUUCAGUGUCCAAAAUACACGUUUUGAAAAAUUUACUAAAUUAAAUUUUUCAUGUUUUAAACUUAAAAGUUGUUUUCAACGACAGAGGUGCUAAACCCUCGCGCACUUCAGGCUGGGUACAAAGAAUCAUCAGUAAAAAUAAACUAAUAUCAAUAAAAAAUAGUGCAGUUAUAGUAACUGUUGGUGAACCUUUAAAUAAAAUAAAAUAAAUUGUCAUGCGAAAAUAGAUCUUUUCUCAACGACACAAAGUCUUAUAUUUACAAAACUUUUCACACUAUCUCUGCAAGGUGUUUUUCAUAAACAUUUGUCAAAUCUAACAAACCGUUAUUUAUCGUUUGUUACUAACCGUCUUUUUGACAUUUCUGUUUGUUAGAA